rnacentral:rRNA from 1 species
UACGUAGGGUGCAAGCGUUGUCCGGAAUUAUUGGGCGUAAAGGGCGCGUAGGCGGCUCUGCACGUCCGUUGUGAAAUCGCCCGGCUCAACUGGGCGGGGUCAGCGGAUACGGCGGAGCUUGAGCAAGCUAGGGGGCAAUGGAAUUCCCGGUGUAGUGGUGGAAUGCGUAGAUAUCAGGAGGAACACCGAUGGCGAAGGCAGAUCUCUGGGCCGUAACUGACGCUGAGGAGCGAAAGCGUGGGGAGCGAACAGG